rnacentral:tRNA from 1 species
AAGGGAGACCUAAUUCAGGUAGGAGACGAAAAAAAAGUAGUCGCUACCAAGAAUCAAUCCCAAAAGGUCGGAGCGAGGCGAAAUUGGCUUUCAAACUAGGUUCUGGGUUCACACAAGACCUGAAUCAGGAACAAGGGCUAUUAGCUCAGGUGGUUAGAGCGCACCCCUGAUAAGGGUGAGGUCCCUGGUUCGAGUCCAGGAUGGCCCACCUGUACAGGUGGCAAAAAGAAAGAAAAGAAGCGAGGAAUCAGCACCUUAUCUUACUGACAUAGUAAGAGAGAAUGCUGGCUCUGAGUAAAGAGUCCAGAGGAACCUUGAAAACUGCAUAGAGCUAGGUGAAAAAGCCAAAAAAGAAGACUGCAA